GGGCACUUGGCACAGUUGGUAGCGCGCACGCUUCGCAUCAAACCAGGUUGUCUGCAUCGGAUAUGCAUUGCGUGAGGUCAGGAGUUCGACUCUCCUAGUGUCCA